AAAAAAAAAAAAAAAAAACAACAAAGAAAGGCCCCAGGCUAUGGCAGGGUGGACCCAAGACUGUUACUUGCUGUAUGUGGACACCUAAAGGCCCCCAGAACCAUCCAUCCUCAUCAUAGAAACUGGACGUUCUGAUCUUACACGAUUGUUUCAGCCCCCUCCCCACACAUGCCGACUGCCCUCAGUGUCUGCUUCCUUAAGCCUGCUUCCAUUUUAGCUAUUAGCGAGGGUUUUGCAUCUCGUUGCCUGCCAGCAUAUUAUGUGCAUCUCAUUAACUCUGAAGGCUCCACUACCCUUUAGGGACCAGACCUUCACAGACGUAAUGGCCUUCUGCCUGAGGUUUGAGUUUGCUGUUACUCUUUCUACCUUGGCUGAGGAAUGUCAGCCCAUGGAUUUCUAAUAAGUUCACAAAUUGCUCUAUGAAAUUGAGGUGAGAAAAAUGUCACAUUCUUUUUUUUUUUAAUUUUUAAAAAUCAAAUCUGGCUUGGAGCCCCCACUUAACCAUUCUCAGCAGAAGUCCGACUCCAGUCAUUGUGAUUUACUCACAGGCAGGGGAUGGGGGUUUUGGUGAGAGGCUUCCCCUCCUUCAGGUUGCACCAACACCCUGCUGCUGAAGCAGGUCAGGAGAGCGGGGUGAGCACUACGUCAUCAGGGCAUCCUGAUCACUCUUUCCCCGGGCUCCUUCUGCGACACAGUGAAGACUCUAAACACUGUCUGGUGCUGUCGUCAGGCCCUGCCCUCCACAGGCAGAGUCUUUUCUAGUGUGCCCAGGCUUUGUUCCGGGGACCUCCAGGCCUCAGUGUCCAUCCACCACAGGCAUCCCUCACAGUUGCCUGACACGAGGUCCUGCCCUCUGUGGGCACUGUGAGCUGGAUGUCGUGGAGCUACCGUGCAUGCUACAGCCCUUGUCUCUUCUCAGCUUUGGGGGACCCAACACUCCAGGUUGGGCAGUUCUCUCCUCUUUCCUCCUGACCCCAGAGUCUCUUUCCUUUCUGCCACUGGGAGAGCAAACCCUCCUUCCCUGGGCCUAGACCUUUCAAAACAAUAGGCUGCUGGAGGGAUUAUCUGAGUGAAGAUAAGUUUUCUCUCUCUCCUCCCCUCCCUUCUUCUCCCCUUUCUUUUCUUUUGCCCUGAAACAAGAAGCUUGUUAACCAGACUUCUGAGGAUAAAGAGAGCCUGGACUCAAGAGCAAUCCCCAGGUAACCCUAUAGGGUGGCAGUGGGAAUCUUUUAUCCUAAUUUUGGGUGGGGGGUUGGCAUCAAUUACUUUCUCAAUAACACCUGUUGUGGAUUCAUAGAAAUGGAUAGAACCUGAGAGAGCUUCCGUCCCAACCAUCUCAUUUUUCAAAGGAGCCAGAGGAGCAAAGGGAGGAGGCCCAAGAGGAGAGUGGGGAUGCCUAGUUCAUGUCUGAGCCAGGACCAGCAUCCAGGUCUCGACUGCCACUCCCAGGAUCCUGCAUUUGGGAGCCCCCAGGUGAAUCAUGCUGUUAGACUGCCAAGUGGAGGGAUAGAGGCAAGGUCCUGCCUUCAAAGACAUGAAUGUCGCAUGGAAAGAACAGGGCAACACACACGAAUCCACUAUGGAGUAUCGUAAGCCAGUGUACCACUGAAGGCUCACGGAGCAUUUCUGAGGAACUCAGUAAAACGAAUAAUGAUUGUAGACUAUCGUUAGUCAAAUACAACUUAACUGGGAAAAUGGAACUGGACCAUGGUCUUGAAAAACAAGUGGAGCUAGAGAAUCAAUGUGAGGGCUGAGAUGAAGGUAUGCAGUUUGUCAACCUCCACAGUAUAAAAAAAAAGUAAGCAAAGAAAGUGAAGCAAAAGAAAACUCAGGAGUAUGAGGAGGAUCAGCACAGUGCAGUCAUGAAAACUAGCCAAGGCAAACCUGCCUAGCAGGAGGCCUGGCACAUUUUGGAUGUUCUUGACUUCUUUUUUCUUACCUUGCUGGCAGUCAGCAGAUACAUGGGAUCUUUGAACCCUCUAGAAUUACAUGCAUACAGCAUGGGUGAUUUGGGGUGAUGGUGUAUAAGUGCAUUAUAUGAAAUCAGGUCUGAGGUUUUCAUUAGGUUCUCAAUAUAUCUUGCUCUCCCUCUUCCAGGAAUAUAGUAGGAUUGCAUUUCUGAGCCUGUAUUAGUCCGUUUUUACACAGCUGAUAAAGACAUACCCAAGACUGAGUAGUUUAUAAGGAAAAAGGGGUUUAAUGGACUCACAGUUCCGCAUGGCUUGGGAGACCUCACAAUCAUGGUGGAAGGCAAAAGGCUUGUCUUAGAUGGCAGCAGAGCUCAGUGCCCCCUCUGUCACAAUGGCCAGCAAUGUUCCAGAUAGUGACCACUCACUCAGCUAGGGUUCCAGAGGGAGGAAGAUGCAGAGCAGAGCCCCAGCUGACCUGCAGUGGACAUAUGAGGCUGGAUGUCGGGCAGCUGAAGGGUGAUCAGUCUUCUGCUGGAAUUAAAGCCUGCUGUGAUGUUAAUGAAGAACCGCCAGUGGGUUUGCUGGAAGGGGGAAAUUUGGAGACAGACACAUACACAGGGAGAUGCCGUGUGAAGACUUGAGUUCUGCUGCCACAAGCCUAGGAACCAUUAGAAGCCAGGGAAGAGGCCUGGAACAGCUCCUUCCCCAGCACCUUCAGAGGGAGCAAGCCUCUACCAACAACCUGAUUUUGAACUCCUCGCCUCCAGAACUGUGAGACAAUAUAUUUCUGUUGUUUUAAGCCACCCAGCAUGUGGUACUUGGUUACAGCAGCCCUGGCAAACAAAUACAGGUUUGUAGGACUGUAUCUUUAGAGAUGAAAAGGAGAACCUCAAGCGGAAGGAAGAGCAUGAGCUUACUGGGGUAAGAAUAUGUAUUUAUAUAUUGAGUGCAUUCAGCAGUUCGGUUCUACUGGAACCACGGUCUGUAAAGGAGCCAUGUAUGGGAAGGUUAUUGUGGCCAAGUAACAGAGGCUUUGAAUGCUGGAAAAGACAUCUAAAUUUUGGAGCCAGGCACGGUGGCUCACGCAUGUAAUCCCAGCACUUUGAGAGACCGAAGCAGGUAGAUCACGAGGUCAAGAGAUAGAGAGUAUCCUGGCCAACAUGGUGAAACCCCUUCUCUACUAAGAAUACAAAAACUAGCUGGGCGUGGUGGCAUGCACCUGUAGUCCCAGCUACUUGGGAGGCUGAGGCAGGAGAAUCGCUUGAGCCUGGGAGGUGGAGGUUGCAGUGAGCCGAGAUUGCAGCACUGCACUCCAGCCUGGUGACAGAGCAAGACUCCAUCUAAAAAAAAAAAAAGACAUCUACAUUUUUAUCUGGCAGAGUUUGCUUCUUUUGUGUUAAUAUUUACUUCUAUCUAUCUUGGCCUAAAAUGAUUUGAGGUGGCUGACCUUAGCAUGUAGAUCAUGGGGAACCAGGUUGUGUGCCAGGAAGUGACUUGAUCGGCACCUGCACAGGAAGAUGAUCUCGGAUGCAACUCCUUGGAGAAACAGAGUCAAGCAGCAGCCCAGGUGAGAAGCUUGGCCAUCAUCUGAAAACUAUGCAAAGCAGGUCUGAACUAGGAAAAGGGCAGAAGGUCAGAGAAGAGGGGAUAAAGACAAGAGGUGAAAUGAUAGGUUGACCUGGCAAAUGCUUGCAUGACACAGGAAGAGAGAGAAAGGAAUUGAAUGGAACGUGGUCAACAUUUGAGCCUGGUGACUGUGAGGACAGUGGUGCCAUUUGCAGAUUUAGGAGGAAGCAUCACGUUGGGGAGGUGGAGGAGUUGGUUUUGUGCACAUUGACUCUGAGGUGGUGGAGGGGUCCAGCAGGCAGUUGGACUUAUGAGAAAAUGCACCAUUAUUCAUCCAAACAAGAUAAUUGAAUUUUUGAAGGCAGCUAAAAAAUAAUGGUUCUACGCUACAAGAAAUGAAGUGAAAUGGUAAAACAACAACAACGACAAAAAAACAUACACACACACACACAAAAAGCAAAAAACAAAAUAACCCACCCAAUUAAUCCAUUUGGAGGUUGUUCUCAUCUAGUGAAAUGUGUGUGUGUGUGUGUGGGUGUGUGUGCACUUCAGUACUGUUAACAAAGAAAAGGUCUGGUCAGUGGCAAAAACUACUUGAAUGCUGCUUUCAGCAAAGUCAUCCCUCUCUUCAGAAGGAUGAAGUACUCUUGUUUGUCAAGGAAGGUCCCUCUCAACUAGAAAAACAGCUGCAGGAACUCCAACCCAAGGUCCCCACAGCCCACAGGGGUGAUCUCUUGCUUUGCUCUCCUGGCUGUCUCAGGAAGCAGAAGUGGAAACAUUUGAGAUGACAGCAGCUCUGCUUUCUUUGUAGAGUUAAUUAGCUGGUGAAUACUGAGCUCUCCGACAGAGAGGAAGCUCGGGUUAUCAAAGUAUUAUUAAUUGAUGCAUCUGGAGAAAGAGAGAAGCAGCCCCAUCUGGACAGAGCUUGGAUUCUUUUAGCGCCAGAAUGGAAGAAAGCCCUUUUUAAAGUACAGUAAGAAAAGCCUGGUUCAGCUAAACAGUGAGGGGUAGUAGAAUCUAACUCGCACUCAACCCUACUUAACACCUUCCAUUCUUAAGUAUUUAUUAAGCCCGGUACAAGUGACAAAUACCACAUGUGAUCUGUUGUCACCAAAACUCAUUAAGACAAAUAAUAUUGAAUAAGAUCACACAGGAUGGCUUGCCAUCAGAACUACUUACUACUUCAGGCCGGGUGCCAUGGCUCAUGCCUGUAAUCCCAGCACUUUUGGUAGCUGAGGCAGGUGGGU
rnacentral:lncRNA from 1 species